GUAAAACAAAAGCUGGCUAGCUGAACAGGCAGACCCCAUUGUCAGAAUUAUUCAGCAAUGCAGCUCUACAGCCAAAGGAGGUUCCUGAGAUCUAUCUUCCCUUUUGGAGAGGGGUUAAGAAAUAAACCGUCAUAUUAGGCCUGCUGUCAAAUGACAUGGUUGGAUAACAGGAACUGACAAUGUGCUUGACUCUGUUCAUGAUAAAAGACUGGUAUAGAGAAGAGAAGAUGCACAGGGAAGUCAAGAGGAGUGAGUGAGUAGGAUUUUUAAAA